rnacentral:tRNA from 1 species
GUGCAUGUCUUCUAAUUGGUUAGGAAGCCACUCUGAUAAGGUGGUAAUGAAGGUUCAAGUCCUUACUUGCACAC